CUACGGGAGGCAGCAGUGAGGAAUAUUGGUCAAUGGGCGCGAGUCUGAACCAGCCAUCCCGCGUGCAGGAUGACGGCCCUAUGGGUUGUAAACUGCUUUUCUAUGCCAAGAAACCCUGUUACGAGUAACAGGUUGCCGGUAGCAUAGGAAUAAGCAUCGGCUAACUCCGUGCCAGCAGCCGCGGUAAUACGGAGGAUGCAAGCGUUAUCCGGAUUCAUUGGGUUUAAAGGGUGCGCAGGUGGGCUUGUAAGUCAGUGGUGAAAUGCUGCCGCUUAACGGUAGAACUGCCAUUGAUACUGCGAGUCUUGAGUAUGGUUGAGGUAGGCGGAAUGUGUUGUGUAGCGGUGAAAUGCAUAGAUAUGACACAGAACGCCAAUUGCGAAGGCAGCUUACUAAGCCAUUACUGACGCUGAGGCACGAAAGCGUGGGGAGCGAACAGGAUUAGAUACCCCCGUAGUC
rnacentral:rRNA from 1 species